UACGUAGGGGGCGAGCGUUGUUCGGAAUUACUGGGCGUAAAGGGCUCGUAGGCGGCCAACUAAGUCGGACGUGAAAUCCCUCAGCUUAACUGGGGAACUGCGUCCGAUACUGGAUGGCUUGGAUUUGGGAGAGGGAUGCGGAAUUCCAGGUGUAGCGGUGAAAUGCGUAGAUAUCCGGAGGAACACCGGUGGCGAAGGCGGCUUCCUGGACCGACACUGACGCUGAGGCGCGAAAGCUAGGGGAGCAAACGGG
rnacentral:rRNA from 1 species